AAUAGAUUAGCUCAAUGGAAAGAGCAUUGGAUUUGGAAUCGAAGGACUUGGGUUUUAUUCCUAGACGUAUUU
rnacentral:tRNA from 1 species